UUGGGAAUGUGAUGAUGAUCUUUCGCCAUUUCUGACUUCUACUGCGGAAAAAAUCUCACAUCGAUUUGCACGUCAGUCUGAUUACCAG
rfam:Selaginella moellendorffii unplaced genomic scaffold SELMOscaffold_19, whole genome shotgun sequence.